GGGGUCAUGACAACAUCCAUUAGCUUGUGGUGGCUCCCAGCUCUCAGGAUUGUUUUUACAUGAAUGUAAUAGGGGGUGGUACAGCCUAGGCUGUGCUAGUAACACAGAUUUUAGAUUCCUUCAUGUAACUUGGGCUUAAUGAUGCUGUUGUCUCCAGACACUUUCUAAUAUGCAGAUGAGUGCACAGACACAUGGUUGCGGAUAUCCACACAUAAACUGCCUCAGCAAGUGUUUGAACAUUGAUGGGUGAGCAGGUUCACUUGGGAGUGUGCCCUGCUUCAUUAGAUGGCUGAGAAGCAUGCUUGGUGCUGAUUUUUUUUAGAAGAGAACUCUGUGGCUUCUUAGCUGGCUGUGGUGCGCAUUCCAGUUGAGCACUUCUUACAAUUUCAAGGUUCAGCAAGCAAUUCAGCUGGGGCAGAAGGAGUAAUUACAGAGUUGUGAAAGGCUGAAAUGUAAAACAGAUGGAUAGAUUGUUCCUUCCUCCUGCCAGCCAUAGGGAAAAAAUAAUUCAGGCUCUCGAUAAAAGUGAAUUCCCAGUUUGAAGAGGUCUCCUCUCCCUCCCGAAGUGAAGAAUGACACUGCACAAAUUCUGAUACUCGGUUUACCAUCAGGAUCCCCAGCAUCCCUGUGGCCAGCACAAGUGCUAGGUAGCUGUGCCCACUGGAGUACUGCUGCCACACUGAGCUCUCCUGAUGGAUGCCUAUUCAAUUGACAGUCUGGUGGGUGACUACGGAACUCCUCAGGCAAAGCCUUUUCUGGUGCAAACCAAAGUGGGGAUAUGUAGCAUUUAAUUCAUGUACCCCUUCCCAUGGCAGCCUUCUUGGCUCUGUCCUCUGCAGUGAGGAGUUACAGUGUAUGUAAUUGGUUUCUCACAGGCAUCUCACUGACAGUACAGGAGAUAGUUCAGACCCAUGGGCAGGGUGUCAGAGCAGGCAUCCAGCAACCUGCUGCUGGUUCUGCCCAGCAGAGCCCAUCAGGGACUGAUUGUGAUUUGAGUUCUCUGUGGUACUGUGGUGAGAGCUCGAUAGAUCUUCAAAGUUGCAGUGAUUUAAAAAUUAACUUCAAAAUAUUUUUUUUAAUUAAAUAGAAGAAGCAAAUUAAAUUACUAACACUGAGAACAAGAAAUAACAAUCAUCCACUAAUGGUUUGUCAGAAGACAAGUUCAGUGAAGGGGAAAAUCAAAUUAGGUGCUGCUGGGUUUGUCUCUGCUUUCUUACUUAAAUGGUGUUUUCUAAGAUCAAGGAGAGGACAGAUCAAGCCGCAAUUCCAUUUCAGGAUCUCUGUGGUUCUCACUUGCGUGUCUAGUUACAGAUACUGGUGGUUACAGCAAGGCUUGCUGCUGCAACAGUUACAAAUAAGAUCAUUAGGAGAGCGAGAGGACUGAUAGGGAUAACUGGUUUGCUGGGAGAGAGGAUGACGAGAAAGACUUCAGAGCUGCAAAGCUGACCAGAAACAUGUUGACAUCAGUGGCAAACUUGAAAGCAGGAAAAGCAAGCAGAGCUAAACCAAGUGAGAAGCAGCGGAGAGAUCAUGCUGUCCAGGUCAUUAUUAAAUGGACGUCAUUACUCCAAUUAUAUUCGGUGCUGCAGCUGUUAUGGAUACUGACAUAGGAUGGCAAAAGACAGCUGGCUAUCUGUGUCUAAUCCUGCAGACACUGAUUUUCACAGAAGGAUGCUUAUGCCAGUUCCUUUAGGAGAAACAUUUAUAACAGGGCUUUUCUAAUUAGAGCUACAAAAUCUCUAAGGAAAUUGACUGUAAAGAAUGACCAGGAAGAUUUCCCCCUUGAUGGAAAUAUGCUUUGGUGAAUCCACUGACUGUAAACUUCAGUAUCAUUUCCUUUUGCUUAUGUCAGCUCAAUUUUGCUUCAAAAUAUGGAAGGAAAUUGUUUGUGUACAUCCAUCAGUGGCAUAUAUUCUCAUUAAGCAAUUCCUGAAGUAUUGCUUAGGUUUUGGACAGAACUUAUGUAUCACAAUCUUUAAUUCAAGCACUCUUUGAUUGUUUUCUACAUUGUUAAAAAUUACAUCUAAUAGAAAUUCUAGUUCUCUUUUUUCUUAACUCCACUCUUUGUAAUUAUUCCAAUUCUUUAUACAUAAU
ensembl:lncRNA